GGUCCGCUGGCGUAAUGGCAGCGCGUCUGACUACGAUUUUAGAAUCAAAACAUCAGGAGGUUCCAGGUUCGACCCCUGGGCGGAUCG